rnacentral:sRNA from 1 species
ACGCGAACAACAAACGUUUUGGCGCC